GGGGGCGAAACGGAUUCGACGGGGGUAAUUGAAACUCAAGUCGCAUGUCGAGGUUCUCGCCGGCUCGUAAAACAGGCGGGGCUAAUAGAAAAGCAGACUCUUACGAGUACGCUCUAGCCGCUUAAGGCUAGCGCUCACGCACCUUUUGCCUGCGAGGGUGCGCCGGGCGACGACUAGCGGGCUAGCUGA
rnacentral:tmRNA from 1 species